AUGCACGACAGGAAGUGGAUGAAGGGGCUUGAAAGAAUCAGCUCCCAUGAUGAUCUGCACUCCUUUCUGCUUCUGUGGGAGAAGAUUCAGAGUGUCAACUUAUCUGAAACAAGAGAUACUAUUGAUUGGAUCUGGACGAAGGACAAGAAAUACACCGCCAAGUCUGCAUAUUCCUGUCAGUUCAUUGGUUCGAUUGCCAAGCCUGAGUCUGACCUGAUCUGGAGGCUCAAGAUUGAAAGAAAGGUGAGGUUUUUCCUCUGGACUUUGGUUCAAAACAGACUCCCAACCACUGACAGGCUGCGAGCCCAUGGGAGCGAUCAUAACGCGACGUGUUCUCUCUGCCUCCAACUCCCUGAAACUGCACUCCACCUCUUCAACACAUGCCUUUUUUCCAAGGAUGUUUGGAACAAGCUAUGCUUGGCACGACCCUUGCGCUACCCUUCCCUGCCUGCUAGCAUUCAGUCCAUCUCUCAUUGGUGGAGAGUUUGCUCCCAGCGCAACAACGAGCAGGCCGUUGCUGCUGCUUAUUUUGCUUGGCACAUGUGGAAUGAGAGGAACAGGAGGGUCUUCAACGCCAAGUCUACCUCAGCGGACGGCGUGGUUUCUCUGAUAAAAGCUGACUUAGAUUUCCUGAGAGUAGCGAUGUAA
rnacentral:rRNA from 1 species